rnacentral:rRNA from 1 species
UACGUAGGGGGCAAGCGUUGUCCGGAUUUAUUGGGCGUAAAGAGCGUGUAGGCGGCCAGAUAGGUCCGUUGUGAAAACUCGAGGCUCAACCUCGAGACGCCGAUGGAAACCAUUUGGCUAGAGUCCGGAAGAGGAGAAUGGAAUUCCCGGUGUAGCGGUGAAAUGCGCAGAUAUCGGGAAGAACACCCGUGGCGAAGGCGGUUCUCUGGGACGGUACUGACGCUGAGACGCGAAAGCGUGGGGAGCGAACAGG